rnacentral:rRNA from 1 species
CAUGCAAGUCGAGGGGCAGCGCGGGUAGCAAUACCUGGGGGCGACCGGCAAACGGGGGCGGAACACGUACGCACCCUUCCUUUAAGGGGGGAAUAACCCACGGAAACUUGGAUUAAUACCCCUUAACAUUAUGAGAUGGCAUCUUUUUACGCUUAAANCUCCGGCGCUUAAGGAUGGGCGUGCGCCUGAUUAGGUAAUUGGCGGGGGAACAGACCACCAAACCUACCAUCAGGAACUGGUGUGACAGCGCGACCACUCACACGGGCACUGAGACACGGGCCCGACUCCUAGGGGAGGCAGCAGAAAGGAAUAUUGCUCGAUGGACACAAGUCUCAACCAGCCAUGCCGCGUGGAGGAUGACAGCCCUCUGGGUUGUAAACUCCUUUUAUCUGGGAAGAAAUGCAGAUUUUCUAAUCUGUUUGACGGCACCAGACGAAUAACCACCGGCUAACUCCGUGCCAGCAGCCGCGGUAAUACGGAGGGUGCAAGCGUUAUCCGGAUUCACUGAGUUUAAAGGGUGCGUANGUGGACAGGAAAUUCAGUGGUGAAAUCUCCAAGCUUAUCUUGGAAACUGCCGUUGAUACUAUCUGUCUUGAAUAUCGUGNAGGUAUCGGAAUAUGUCAUGUAGCGGUGAAAUGCUUAAUAUGACAUAGAACACCGAUUGCGAACGCAGCUUACUACGCGGUCAUUGACACUGA